rnacentral:rRNA from 1 species
AGAACGAACGCUGGCGGCAUGCCUAAUACAUGCAAGUCGAACGAACACUUCGGUGUUAGUGGCGCACGGGUGCGUAACGCGUGGGAAUCUGCCCUUGGGUUCGGAAUAACAGUUGGAAACGACUGCUAAUACCGGAUGAUGACGAAAGUCCAAAGAUUUAUCGCCCAGGGAUGAGCCCGCGUAGGAUUAGCUAGUUGGUGAGGUAAAGGCUCACCAAGGCGACGAUCCUUAGCUGGUCUGAGAGGAUGAUCAGCCACACUGGGACUGAGACACGGCCCAGACUCCUACGGGAGCAGCAGUAGGGAAUAUUGGACAAUGGGCGCAAGCCUGAUCCAGCAAUCGCCGCGUGAGUGAUGAAGGCCUUA